UAAUUUACAAACAAUCGUAUUCUAUUAAUUCAAGGUGUCAUUUUUGCAGCACUCAUAAUUUAUAUAAAAAUUUAAGGAAUUCGCAAUUUUAAGGUAUAUAGAAUUGAGGGCAAAACUUUAAAUGUUUAUUGAAGCACUAUUGAAAAACUCAUGGCAUAUCAGUACAUUUAGUUAACCUUUGUAUGCAUAGCCAUUCCCUAGGUCGGCGUUUUGUUAACAAUAGUCAAUAAAUAACUAUGUUACAACAGUAUAUUACAAGAUAAGUAUAUUAUAACAACAAAUAAUCAUUAUAAUAUAAUGAUUCUUGUAUUUAGCACACAUUGAUGUGUGGUAUUUUUUAAAGUUAUGUUUAAGUCUGUGAUGAUUUAAACAGAACGUUACAGUAUCGACAUUUCCCAACCUCUUUGUUUGCAUUAAAUUACACUGAUACAUUCGUAAUCCCGUAAAUGAGAUACACCAGUAGGACAAUUAAGUGCAUGCUUUCAUAGUGCAAGCAUUCAAUAACCACCAGUUGCAUUAAAAACGGAAAACUGUAUAUAACAAAUAAAACAAACGAGAUCGGUACAGAUAGAGACUAAUUUAUGAUACAUGUGGAUACUGCAUACCGAUAGGGCAGGUAACCGAUGAGUUGUUUGACAGAUUUCAAAGUGUCAAAAGGUGGCAUGAUUUAAAUUGUUUAGAAAAGGUUAAUUGUUUCAAAUAAGGGUUUACAGUUCGGCAACAAGGGAAUUUGUUUUUAUAAUAAAACAAGCUUCAUAAUACUCCUGAAUAAAGCAAUGUGAAAAAAGUAUUGCCUUUCAUUGAUAAUCAUCAAUUGAAAUCGUAAAGAAUAUAAAGUAGUUGUACGUUUUAUAUCGAUACUUUAGCACAAACAAGCAAAGCCGACCUAUUGUUUUGACUACGUAACAGUUUCAAAAGCCUGCCUUGAGUUGUGUUAUUAAGUUGGCUCUUGGUUCUAGAAUCACGCACAUGUGUUCAUAAUAGUUGAAUGCUAUUUAUCCUUGUUAUCAUCAUAUUUUCCAUUACUCCACAUAUUCCAAUUUGGAUUACAACUUGAUUAAAUGAUUUCUACAAGGCAUACGAACAUUUGUUAACAUGUCUCUGGUGAGAAGUCUCAACCAUUUCAGAUUUAGAAUCCCCAAUAUAGUUAAGAUUUGGAAUCCCCAAUACACUUGUUUGUUUUUUUGAAGUCUGAAAUGUCAGACCCGUUAUGUAAUAUCGCAUUACCAUUAAGUUCAAUUGCCUUAAUUUUUCUCAUGGUUGCCUGCAAAUAUAUUAUUACGCAAAAGAUAUUCUUACAGCGGCACAGCAGCGGACAUCCGUGUAAUCAUAUAUACUUUUAUUGGUAUGAGUAACCGCUUAUAUUAUGUUGGAAUGUGUUUUGCUGCUGUUGAAUUUGAAGGGUAUGUGUCUGUUCGUCGUUAUGUUGUCCGUCAAUCGGCUCGUCUGUAUUGGGUAAGCCCUUGUUUAUAUUGCUGAUCUUAGUUUGCAGAUCAAGUUUCAUCCGUUUACUAAUGAUUUAUCCAUUGUGGUUUAUAACAUAAUACAAUUAAACUUGCAUUAAGCGGUUUUGUAAGAGCAUUUGUAAAAUAAUACAAUGUCACACAAUCCAUAGAUUCCAAAGGUGUCAUUAUAAUUUUGGUAAAAAACUUAUGUACCUGAUUGCCUAACCAACUUAUGUACUUAAUUGCUUGGCAAAAGCAAUAUAAAACGAUCUUAAAACAGCGUACUUACACAGUGAGGUUUCUUCAAACGGUACCAACUAAACUAAGAUGCAGAAAGAUCUAAGUGCUUUGUUAUUACCAAAUUAUAAGUGUUGGUUAUAUGAUAGCUAUUGUAGUUAUAAGCAACGAUUUGUAGUUCCUAUGCGCAGGAAUAAAACCAUGAAGUUGAGAACAAAACACAGUUGGCUUAUAUCCAAAUAACCAACACUUAUCCAAACAAAUGUUUGAUUUUACUAUACGUUUAUAGUUAUUUGGUUCUAUAUCAUUACACUUAUUUAAAUUUAUACUAAUUCUGCUCCUGUUUCAAAAACAACGCGCGUUUCUGUGUCGUCUACACCUGAAAACAAUUUAAAAUGACGUCGCUUUUAUUAAUAAAUACUUAGUGAAUUAUUAGUGUGGGUUCUUCCUUCUUGCUUAAUGCGAUUAAAAGCAAAAAUGCUCGCCGAUAUGUACGGUAGUCUUACAUAGCGAGCUGUUCACGUGCACUGCUGGCGUAAAGUCCCCUAAUUGAAUUUACUUAAAUUUAACUCACUUCCCAAUAUAAAGAUUGACAGUGUGCAAUCACCAGCGUAUUCGAUUUAGAAUAGUACACCAAAAUGCAUAACAAACGAGAUAAUGUGACGAAAACGAUGCCCAUCUCCAUUUUCAACUGGCGAUGAAACAUUUCCGUGAACAAUGUUGUGACGCUAAUAAAGUGAUCAGUCAAUUGAGGACUGCUGUUCGUAUUUAACAGCUGCCCACGUUAACAUAUUUUGGUAUCAAAUGAAACUUCCACACAGUGUUCCAAUUAAAGAUGUUUUAUUUUAAUUUUUUUGUUUUACUUUAAUAAAUUUCCGGAAGCUAAUUGUGACAUGCUCUUAAAUGCAGAACUAAUCGAACUAUUUAACUUCGGCAUGGGCCUCAAGCCAGUCUGCACAACAUCUCCGAAAAGUAUUUGCAAUUAACGUCUUCGACAUCAUAAAGUGCAUAAGUAUAAACUCCAAACAAGGUUAUUAAGUAUCAUAGAAAACAAGUCCCAUGAAGCAUUUAUGUUUUUGUGAAGACCGAUUUUCAUAUGCGGAGUGGGAUAUACAUCGUAAGUGUUAAUCAACAAAGAUACAUCAACCUUAUAAAUACAUUUUGUAAUGAAACUGGUUGGCAACUUAACACCAAAAAAUCAAAAGUCAUGGUGAACAUAAACUGUCGCCCUUUUCGUCAAUAUGAACAAGAAAGUUUUACGUUACCAGAUAUAGUUUUCUUCAUCUUAUAUGGAUAAAUAUAUUUUACGUCUACACUUUGUAGGACAUAGACGCAGACAAAACAUGCCAAACUCGCCUCGCAAGUUAAUCUUACGGAGCUGAAAUAAGAGAAUAACGGAACACUAAGAUAAAAUGCAACAUACAAAUUUCUGCCGACGUAAUGUUUGAGUAAAACUGUAUCCCAUAACUAAAUGUCAUCGUAUUGAACUGGUAAGAAUUAAAAUGACAAGUGUUAUUAUUGCGGUACCCUUGCUGAUGGAGAGUAGUUACGCACGUUCUUAUUGUAUCAUAUACAUUAAAAACUAAUAAUUUUUAUUUUGAAAGAAAUCGUUUCUCAUAUCUAACCUAAAACGUAAACAUACAGUAAUGAAAUGUCAGACUAUAUUGUCGUUACAAAGCUACGACAAAGAAAAGACGCCACUCCUAAAAUAUAUAAAUAUAUACUACUAUUAUUGUGUAAAUUAUAUUGCGCAUUUAAUUUGAGAACGAACACAAUUUUUUCCUCGAGAUGAUUGGUAGAACUUUAAAUAUAUACCAUUUCAUUAUUCGAACUUAUGAGUGCUAGUACAAAAUGAACGUAUCAAAGUUUAGUGACAUAGCUUUUGCCGUGAAAACACUGCAUAUAAUGAGCCCUUUAAUUCGAAAUACGAUGAAACGGCAGUCUCUGUAAAUGUCUUUCACCCUACGAGCCAAGCCAGUAAAAGAGGGAGAUCAAGAAUACUGGCCUUCUUAUAGGUAAACAUAGCGAGCGUCAAACCUUUCUGUUUGACUGGACGGUUAUUAACAAUGUUGGGAAAGUAUUAAUUUUGAAUUUACCAGACCCUGUAGACAGUAUUUGUUUUGGAACGAGUAUACAGCAAUGAUUUAAAACUGUAGACUUAACCCGCUUAAGUAAUCGAUUUAAUAAUGCAACUUGUCUAAUAUAAAUAAAUAAAAUUAUUGUAUGUAUACUGAGUAUGUACUCAAAUUAAUAUUACUUACAUAAUUUGGAAUGUUUAUAUGAGCUUAUCUUAAAUCACAUUCUGUGUUAAAGGGGAUAACAGUUUGCCGUACAGCCCUGAAGAUGAUGCUGACUGCAGUCAGAAUUUUGAGUACGACGCUUUUGUGUGUCACAAUCAAGACGACCGCGAGGACACGCGGUUCGUACAAGACCUGAUUGAGGAGCUAGAAGUUAGGAGAGGACUUCGACUCUAUGUCCCUGGUCGCGAUGAUCCAACGGGUGCAUACGAAUACAUCACCAUUGCUGGCGAAAUUGAGAGAAGUUGCCGAAGAGUGAUUGUAGUGCUAUCAAGGACGUUUCUUCAAAGCAGAUUUUUCGUCUUCAUAGAACGGUUUGCACAAGGAUUUUCAACAGACGUCGAAAGACGUGCACGAAUGAUUACAGUCAUCAGUGAGAAAGGCGCCGUCGUGCCUAGUACACUUAAUGACGGUUAUAUUAUCGACUGUAACGACGUCAUCAAUUGGGUCCUCUUAACAUUAUUUAUCAAAGAAAUGAUAUCACAAAAAACUUACAGAAAAUUUCAAAGAAAUAGAAACAGACAAGCUCUGCUUGUGCCGUACCCAGAAGGCGCAAAUGAAAACACAGCUCUUAAAGAGGUAACGCCUGCUCAAAAUAGUCAGUCUCAUGCGGACCCCAUGGCAUCAUCCGCUCCAAUAUCAUCAGAAAAUACUGGGACUCAAUGGCAAGCCGACGUAAAUGAAAAUGCAGCUCCCCAAGAGGUAACACCUACUCAGAAUGUUCAGACUCCUGUAGCACCAGCGAUCCGGACUGACUUACAACUACUUCAAAAAGAAAAGGAUAAACAAUAAUCAUUCCAGAAAGGCGACGAAAUAAAUAAACCUUCACACAUCACGCAUAGCGAAACAACACUGCUGAACAAAGGCGAAACUCUCUUGUCAGAUGAAAACAUCGUUUCUAUGAGUCAUGUACACUUAGAAUACCAGAGCCAACAGACAGCUGUGAUACAAAGACACAAAAAUACCCGUAAUACACUUCUACCGCAAAAUCCGAUAUACAGGAAGCCAGACGAAUAAACUACCGACCGGACACUCCAACAGCUUGCAGGCCAGACAUCAAGAAUGACUCUUUCGCAGCAGCUGAUAUCUGAGCCAUCAACAGUAGAUCAGCAAACCGAAACCUCGGAUUCAACACGCGUCAAACCUAAAGAACAUAACGAGAAAACAAUUAAGACAUAUCACAGUAAAGUGUCCUUGAACAGUAGAACGAAUCACGAACUGAAGAAUCGAUUACUUGUGUGGACCAUAUACGUAAAACAUGUCCCUACUAAUUAAACAAAUAUAAAGUGCCAGUUUAAACAACCGAAAUUAAACAUUUUUAAAAUGGGACCAUGUUUAAUCAUUUUUAUAUGCCUUGAACAGUAAAUAACUGUCAUGUGAGUGCCACGAUUUAAAUAAAAAAAUGGCGACUUUAUAAUUUACUUGACAUGUUAUAUUGUUUUAUGUACAUACUUUAUUACACCUGCAAAAAUUACAUCAACCUUUUUAAUAAGGCUAUUGUUACACACUUUAUAUGAGACAAACUCAUUAUGAUCAUAAGCAGAUACAUAUCUUUUAAAGGGUGUAAUUGUUCAUGUGUUUGUAUAUAUAUUCUUUACAAUUUUGUAAUAUUUGUUGCUUCAAAAUAAUAUUGUGUUGUUUUAACUGUUGCACAUUUAUUUUUGCAUUUUGUAAAGUAUUGCCAGUGAGUUUGGUUUCUUUGCUAUACUUAAAAUUUUGCAGUGACAUAUAUUUGUAAAUCGUGUUUAAAGUAAACAACUGUUUACUAUCUAAAAUAUUUGGCUGAUAUAGAAGUCAACUUUUUUUUAUUCAAUAUAAAAUCUAUUAUGUAAACAUGUGCAUAAGCUAUAAUAGCAAGGAGCUAUAACAAUGUCAAACAUAUUUUACAAGAUACGCUAGAAUUUAUAUAUUUUUUAACUUUGUGUUUUUCUUUAGAUUAAAAUGGUAUUGGUUUGUGGGUUUUUUGCUUUUUUUGUUUGUGAUAGAUGUUGUUUCUGUUUUUUAAAUAUAUAAAAUAAUUAAACAAACUAUAGAUGCGUUGCAUUAAGUGAGGUCAAUAAACAAAUGGACUAGAUUAUGAAAGUUUCAUGUGUUUCCCUUUUUGUUCAACAAUAUGAAGUGUAUCCUCGUUUAGGGCUAUUUCUUUUUCAAUAUGGAUCUUUAGUUGAAUAAUUUAUAAAACAGUUGAAAGUAGGUGUUUUUUUCAUGCUGAAAAUGAAAUAUUUCAUUAAUAUAAUAAUGUAGUCACAGUGUUAUUAAUUUCUGGUAUUUUAAAAGUAUUUACACCGAAAACUGAUAUUUAAGAGAGACAAUUUUACUUGUAAUUGUUGUUUCUCUAGAACUGUUGUCAAUUGGUUCCAUACAGUUUGAAUAUGUUUACACACCCAGAAAAGGUGUUCUAUUGUUUCAAUAUGUUUGCCGCAUAUAUCACAUACAAUUUGCGUUGGAUAGGUUGCAUUCAAAAUUUAUUUGUAGCUAUGAUUCUGUACACAUAUUUAUAUUGAACAAUUUUCAGUGUGCUAUUUAUAGUUGUUUUAUAUGGCAUGAUACAUAUUUGUAUCCAAUUAAAUUUUUGUUCUCGAAGAAGGAUUUGCCAUUUAUUUAGAUUUUGGGAGUUUUCUACAGGUUUUUUAAUUUGUAGUUUGCAAAAUAUUUUGUUCGUUCUGUUUUGUUUUGAAAGUAUGUUUUCUACGAAUGAUGUUUGAGUACAUGGUGUGUUAUUUGUAUUGGUUAUAUAUUUAAUAUGUAUGGGUAUGCUUUUAGAACAUAGAAGUAAACUUACUAAUUUUACGUCGGUAAAAUGAAAUUCAUCAAAACGCAAUUUUUUAAUAUGCAUACAUGUACUGCGUUUAAUUGGUGAUGUGUGAUGUAACUGAUAUUAAAAUGCUUUAAUACAGAUGAAAAAUAACCUAUUUGUUUUACGGAUGAACUUGUAUUACUGGUUAUAGUAAGUUUUAACGCAAGUACAAAAUAAGCAGUUGUAACAAAUAAGUACAUGCUGCGUUAUUGAACACAUAAUAAAAAUCAAAUCAGUUAUGUUUUGUUCUAGUAUUUUUGCUCAAAUAGUAAUUGCGUAUUAUUCGUAGAUAUUUUCAAAAAUGUAUUUGGAAAAUAUUAUUUUUACCUGAACGCAUGUGUGUAUUGUUUUUAUAAUCACUUCAUUAGAACUUCCUUUAUUGACUUGUGAGUUGUAUACAUGUUGUUGAUAUUGCUUUUGGUUUCCCGUUUGAAAACGUUUUUGUGAGAAAAUGCAUGUUUGUAUUGCGAUUACUAAAAUUAUUUUUCACAGGCGUCGUUUGGUUUCUUUAAUUAUCAUAAUCAUGCACUGAAUAGAAGCCAGGUAUGAAUAUAAUUUCCAAUAUAAAAGUACACCUUGCGUUUCUGUUCAUUGUCAUAUCUAAUGUUUUCUCAUUGUGAUAUGUAUCUUGUCGUCCAUUCUGCUUUCCGUCUGUCCGAUCUUAGAUAGUAUGUAUCUGCUAAGUAUUGUCUACAUUGUUCGAGUAUUCUAUGUGUUAUAAUUUAUUUCUGGCCUUACAGAAGGCAGUUUGUUUGUUAACGUUAUCAGUCAAGCCCAUCUUGGACACGCAAUACAAAUUUGUUGAAGAUAUUGUACCACUAACAUAAGUUGAUUUGAUGUUUCGACUCAGAAUGUAUAGUCACGCCCUCUUACAAGGAUUUAUUGUGGAUCAGGAAAACGCAUAGGUUUGAGACAAAUUGUGAAUUCAGUUUGUUGAUUGUGUAUGUAACGUCAAAUUGUAUACGAUUCUACACAAGUAGUUUCAUAGGGAGAUAUAAUGUUUCUUUGGAUUAAACUAUGUCUUUUGGAAACUUCAAAUGUUUACAGUCCUAGAGAAUAUAUUGAAAACGGGGCCGAAAAUCGGCCCAAAGUUGUACAGCUAUAAACUUAACAUAAUUUAUCCACAUACCAAUUUUACUGUUUAUUUUAAUUUCAAUUUAACAGCUGCGCGUUGAUUUUGUUUUUUGAUAUAUAACUUACUUAAUGAGAAGUAUGGCAAGUGUUUGUCAGAGCAUUUAACUUAAAUUAUGUAGAUAAUUGAAUGUUUUAAUAUUGAACAGCAAUAUAAAGAAGUGAAACUCCAGCUGCUGGAGCAGUAUUGAAUUCUCAUUGAAAACAAUUAGCUGGUCCUUUAUUUAAGGCAAGUGACCGAUUGCCAAAACAGUACAAAACAGUACAAUACAGCACAAUACAAACCAUCAUAAACACAAAAUAUAAAUAAAGCUGGGGUCACCGCCUUGGAACGGUCAAUGCAAAGCAUUGGGGGUUUAAACCGGUUAUAGAGCGCUCAACCUCACACUUGGCCCAGCAAUAUUCAUAAUACAUUUAAGUGUAAAUAAUAUUUAACGUCAUAGCAUUGUAACUUAAAUAAAACAAUAAUAAAAGGGAAUUAAAACGCAUUCAAUUUAAUUACAAUUUAAUUACUCAAUGGUAUUGAAGAUACCAGAGCAACAGAGUUACAACUUUUUGACGAACGAUAAAAUGAAACUACAAACAAGUGUCAACUACAUUCCUUCUUUAUAGAAAAAGAUUUAAGAAUAAAGCGUCAUUAAGUUAAUAUUUCAGAUAAUCAUCGCGCAAAAACAGGAAGAAGCAGCAAUAAUGGGUGUAAAAAUUCCAUAUUAAAUUGCUUGGUUGUUUAUGUGACUGCUAAAAAUUAAAUUAAUAAUAAUUAAAUCAAAAAAGAAACGCCUAUCAGAGAGAAAAUAUAAAUAAAAUUGAACGUUAUAAACCCAAUGACCUAUGCAUGUAGCUUACAACUGGAAAGUUGAUCGUAUGACGUCAAAAAAUCCAUGUACCAAGGAAAAGAGAAAGAGUUAUGACGUAAUUGACAAGCGAAUACACAAUGACGUGAACAAAAUCCAGGGGCAGUACUGUAAAGUAAUAAUAAAACUAUUAAUGGGAGGCUACUGCAAAAUUGUACUAAAGACUUAGAUCAUGUUAAUAAUUAAAUGGUUUAAUACUAGACAGCACUGGUGUAUUACGCAUUUUAUUUUACACUUAACUUCAA